rnacentral:rRNA from 1 species
UACAGAGGGUGCGAGCGUUAAUCGGAAUUACUGGGCGUAAAGCGCGCGUAGGCGGCUUUGCAAGUCGAGUGUGAAAUCCCCAGGCUCAACCUGGGAACUGCUCUCGAGACUGCAUCGCUAGAGUAUGGGAGAGGGAAGUGGAAUUUCAGGUGUAGCGGUGAAAUGCGUAGAUAUCAGGAGGAACACCAGCGGCGAAGGCGGCGCUCUGGGCCGGUACUGACGCUGAGGAGCGAAAGCGUGGGGAUCAAACAGG